rnacentral:rRNA from 1 species
GGUGUAGGCGGCUUGUUAAGUCGGAUGUGAAAUCUCCCGGCUAAACUGGGAGGGGUCAUUCGAUACUGGCAGGCUGGAGUGCAGCAGAGGAAAGCGGAAUUCCCGGUGUAGUGGUGAAAUGCGUAGAUAUCGGGAGGAACACUAGUGGCGAAGGCGGCUUUCUGGGCUGUUACUGACGCUAAGGUCCGAAGGCGUGGGGAGCAAACAGGAUCAGAUACCCUGGUAGUCCACGCAGUAAACUAUGGACACUAGGUAUGGGGAGUAUCGACCCUCUCCGUGCCGAAGCUAACGCUUUAAGUGUCCCGCCUGGGGAGUACGGUCGCAAGACUAAA